rnacentral:lncRNA from 1 species
GGGUUAACGGCCGCGGACCUGGCAGUUCUCAGGCUUCUCCAAGGGAGAAGCCCCCUUGCCAGGGUCUCGAUUUCCCGCCAACCAACAAAGGUUCAUUUGCCUCUUAUGGCCUGCGCGGGAGGGUUGCCAUGCUGUCACAAAUCCUCCUCUGCAUCCCAGGAGUGCCGCUUGGUCCUCGGGCUCGCAGCGUGGCCCACACCUGGGUCGGGCCUCUCACGGGGACGCUCCCGCCACUGUGAUAAAGAGGAGAAAACGUCACAGGGGAAGGGCCUGACCCUGCUGCAUCCAUUUUUUAGAUUAAGUACUGCACGACUACUCGCUUCUGAAACUGUCAUAAGAAACUGCCUCAGCUCCCUGCAGGGUGGACACACAAGAGCAGAAUCUCCGUGGGACAUCUCUUUGGAGCAUCAAUAUUACUACAGUAUUUGGAAGACACAAAUUUAAAUAAUUUCUAAGGUAAAGAAUGGAACAUUUAAGACAAGGCUGGAAAGUCAUCUGCCUUUAAUAAC